UUUUUUUUCUAUUGAAUUUGCUUAAAAAAGAUAACUGAGUAGCAGUUUCAAGUGCCUCUAUAAAGUACAAAGAAAUAAGAAAAUGCUCCUUUACUGAAGACCCUGGUUGUCCACACAGACAGAGUGCUAGCUAGGCACUGAGCUGUCCAGUUGGGGACUGCUUUCCCGAGUCCGUCCUGCUGUUCCACGUGGCCAGGGGACUAAUCCUCACCGAGGGAUGGAAGUUGAAGGGGUGUAUGCCAUUUCAGGUCCCUUCCACCUUCUCUCUGCUUCCCACCAGCUGGAACCCAGCGGUGUGCCCUCAGCCAGCCAUGCAGACAAAUACUUGGCGCUCUCAGCACCCAGGGAAGGAACCUGGGUCCACGGAGGCCUCUGCAGAGCCUUCUGCACAGCUCUGCCUACAGCAAGAGAGCAACGCAUGCCUUCGUUUCCAAGCCACGGAGUGUGGAGGGGCUAUCACAGCCCAUGUCCAUAUGCCAGGGACUCUGAAAGGGCCCAGUGAGAGAUCUUCAUAUAGAAGGAGUGAGGGUUAGGCCUGACUCUCUAAAACCUGUGCUUCUGAAAUACUCUUGGAUUCACGUUUGCUAUUGUUUUUAGGGAAAAAGAUAAAGAUGACUAUGUGGUCAGCCUCCCGGCACCCUGGUCCGUCUUAAGCUGAACAUUGAGCAUGCUCAUCAGUGGCACAGUCCUCUUUGAUCAGAUGCUCUACCAAACAGCCAUGCCUUGCCCCUUCUUCCUCAGGAAAGUGGGGUGCACAGUCACAGAGCAGAUGAGUAUAGCCCGCCAGCACAGAGACGUGGAGGCAAAAGGACUUCAUAUGUCCAAAGAGCAGCAGUGGACUUCCUCCACUCAUGGCCAGGUAACUGGACAGAACCAGGGGUUCCAGAUGUCCUCAAACGCCAGCGCUCUGCCCACCAUACCCUCAAGGCUCCACCCCUCCCACAGCUGUGGAACCUUCCAGACUAGCCAUGCUGAGCCCACAGAGCACUGGGUCCAGGCACCACAUGAUGCUCCAGAGCUCUGAUCACCAAGCCAAGAUGAGGACGGAGGAAAGGACACAGUCCACCAGGUGGAGCAGGUAAGACUUCGAGGCUUCGGGGGAAGCAGCAAGUUCAAAGGAACACAUUCCCAGGAUUGGACGAGCAGUAGGGAGUUGGAAUUCUUUCAAAAUGUAAUUUCUCGCAAAACUGCCAUUAUUUGAGCUAAAGCCAACAAACUGAGACCCUGUGGUCUCUAGAGAAAUUUUGCACCCCUGACCCUUAACUACCUAGAAGAUCUUAAAUUAGUGGCCCAUAAUGAGAGAUGAUCAGAGAUAACCUUCUGACCUAUCAGUAGGGCAGGGCAAACUACUAAUUACUGAACACCUGUUCUUGUCCUGAGAACGUCCUUCCUCCUCUCUGGAGCCCCAGGGCAUCUAACCACACACCUGGCUCAUAAUUUGAUAUGUACCUAUUCCCCCCCUUUUUUUUCUUCAUUGAUUAAGAUAUUACAUAUGUGUCCUUAUCCCCCC